GGAAGUAAAAGUCGUAACAAGGUCUCCGUUGGUGAACCAGCGGAGGGAUCAUUACCGAGUUGCAAGACUCCCAAACCACUGUGAACAUACCCGUGAGCGUUGCCUCGGCGGGCGGCCCCAGGGGGGGCCGCAACCUCUCCCAGCUCGGGAGGUGCCCGCCGCAGGCUCAUACAAACUAUAUUGAAACUUAGUGGCCUCUCUGAGUCGGUUACCAAUAAUUAAAACUUUCAACAACGGAUCUCUUGGUUCUGGCAUCGAUGAAGAACGCGGCGAAAUGCGAUACGUAAUGUGAAUUGCAGAAUUCAGUGAAUCAUCGAAUCUUUGAACGCACAUUGCGCCCGCCAGCAUUCUGGCGGGCAUGCCUGUCCGAGCGUCAUUUCAACCCUCAAGCACUGCUUGGCGUUGGGGUGCUACGCGCUAAGCGUAGGUCCCUAAAAUCAGUGGCGGGCCCGCCGUGGCUCCGGGCGUAGUAGCAACACCUCGCCCCGGGACCGCGGCGCGCUCCGGCCGUUAAAACCCCUACUAUACUGAAGGUUGACCUCGGAUCAGGUAGGGAUACCCGCUGAACUUAAGCAUAUCAAUAAGCGGAG
rnacentral:rRNA from 1 species